UUUGAUCCUGGCUCAGGAUGAACGUUGCNNNNMCUUAACACAUGCAAGUCGAACGAUGAAGCCCAGCUUGCUGGGUGGAUUAGUGGCGAACGGGUGAGUAACACGUGAGUAACCUGCCCUUAACUCUGGGAUAAGCCUGGGAAACUGGGUCUAAUACCGGAUAGGAGCGCCUACCGCAUGGUGGGUGUUGGAAAGAUUUAUCGGUUUUGGAUGGACUCGCGGCCUAUCAGCUUGUUGGUGAGGUAAUGGCUCACCAAGGCGACGACGGGUAGCCGGCCUGAGAGGGUGACCGGCCACACUGGGACUGAGACACGGCCCAGACUCUACGGGAGGCAGCAGUGGGGAAUAUUGCACAAUGGGCGCAAGCCUGAUGCAGCGACGCCGCGUGAGGGAUGACGGCCUUCGGGUUGUAAACCUCUUUCAGUAGGGAAGAAGCGAAAGUGACGGUACCUGCAGAAGAAGCACCGGCUAACUACGUGCCAGCAGCCGCGGUAAUACGUAGGGUGCGAGCGUUAUCCGGAAUUAUUGGGCGUAAAGAGCUCGUAGGCGGUUUGUCGCGUCUGUCGUGAAAGUCCGGGGCUUAACCCCGGAUCUGCGGUGGGUACGGGCAGACUAGAGUGCAGUAGGGGAGACUGGAAUUCCUGGUGUAGCGGUGGAAUGCGCAGAUAUCAGGAGGAACACCGAUGGCGAAGGCAGGUCUCUGGGCUGUAACUGACGCUGAGGAGCGAAAGCAUGGGGAGCGAACAGGAUUAGAUACCCUGGUAGUCCAUGCCGUAAACGUUGGGCACUAGGUGUGGGGA
rnacentral:rRNA from 1 species